ensembl:lncRNA
AGAACGACAGCUGCUCAAAUAAGGAACACGGUGAACUCAUCACUUUGGUUCAUCCAAAUCAUCACUCACGGGUUAUCCCUUGAGUGCAUUUUCUCACAAGUUUUUGAUUGCUUCCUUCUUCUCUUCUCCUCUUAAAGCGUUGUGGGCUUAAGAACAGGAUAGAGAUGCCAUGGUGACCUCCGAACCUUCUCAAUUCUUGAUGAAGAACACAGGUAGACACACAUCCUAGUGGCCUCUGGCUAUCUUAUUUAUAUGAUUUGAGAAAUGACAGCAUGUCAAAAUAUUUCUGGGGAGCCUCAGUGAUUGGGUACAAGGAGCACAGAAAUUAUUUUCGCCAAAUUUAUUUUGUACAUAAAAGAGGGUCUGUACGUAAAUUAAAAAGACAAAACACGUAGAUCUAGGUAUUUUGUUCUUUUCGUAGUAAAUUUGUAGUGGCCGUAUACUACACUAGCAGCAAUUUUCACAUUUUUCUAAUUCAGAAAGGUUUUCUUAUAUUAGGGGAAAAUUAUUUAUUUUAAUAUAUAAAAAUCACUGUAAAAUAUCACUUUCAUAAGAAAUGGAGUGCAUGUAAAUUUUUUUUUCAAAGAAAAAUAAACAGGUGAAUGUGGGGUAAAGAUUUUUUGUUUUUCCCAGCACAAUCUACCUCAGUGUAUUGUUAGGAUGUGAUUCAAUAAUGGACAUCUUUGAGACUUCAGAAUUCUUCCUGGAUCCGAUCUGAAUCAGGGAAAAGUUGUAUCAGCUGAUUCUGAAUGCCAGGGACCAGUAAGAAUUUUGAGGGAGGGAGUUGGGCUGAAGUAUGGCUUUCACGUGAGCAUAGAUCCUUCUUCUGGCUGAUAAUACGCUCCUCUGAAUUUAAUCUUCCUUUUUUUUUUUUUUUUUGAUCCUCCAUCCAUUGAUACCGUGGCCCUUGAAAUGAACCAAGUUUCAGGCCAUCACGAUGUAUCUGAUGUAUGGGGGGCAUCCAGUCCUGAGUUACCCUUCUUUGGUAAGGGAAGUUCCCCUGUUGGGGCAAAGACAGGCUUUGGUACAGAGCCAGCAUCCCCAUUGUCCCAUGGCAUCCCCCUGGUGUGAGCACCUAGGUUUAUUUCCACUCCUUUCAGAUUGAGAUGCUUUUUUCGGGGGUUGGGGGUGGAAAAAACCACUGUCAUGGGCACCUCACACACAAACACCCAAUGCAGAGUCCCUUUAUUUUCUGAGUGGGAAGGGAGCAUGUUGAGAAAUCUCAACCCCAAACCCACCAAGAUGCUGAACACAUCUUUUAGCAACAAAACCUUGGACCCCCUGUAUUUUGGUUCAGUUGACCUCAAGCUGAUAGUGUUUGACCUUGGGGCACUUUGAUAACCCGUGUGUAAGUCUGGGCAGGGCCAGCAGGGGUGGUGUCAUACUCACCAAACCUCGCUGCCCUUCCCAUACCUAUAGGCACCACCCCUGCAGAGUCUCCUUUCUUCCACUUUCCCUGGAGAGGUACUGUAGAGUGCUGGGCCCGCCCUUUGUAAACUGGAGUUCCCUAACUUCAUUUAGCUGUCUCUGCUGCUGCAGUGAAAGAGGAAGCAGGCUUGGGUCACAGCCUCCUUUUGCAUCAGAUAAUGUUGACUCUGUCACAACAGAACUUUUGUCCUAGAAAUGGAUGUCCUGGAGGAUUGUAGUGAUGGGUUACAAAAAAAGCAACAAAGCCAGCUUUGGAUGACACUUUUUGUUGUUUGUUUUGAAAGGUGUCUCAGUAUUCUAAAACCCCUUUUUAUUUAUGUGGCAAAAUCCACAUAGUUGUUUCUCUCUGGACCAGUGAUGUCAAACACACGUCUGGAAAUGUUUGUAUACUGGGAGCUGUUCUGGGUGAUUUUCUGUCCUUUUAAGCUAGUAAGAAGCAAGAAAUGCUGCUGGUUCUCUGGAUAGACGUUGAGCACAACUGAAAGAAAAUGUGGGAAUUGGUGCAAAGAUCUGCACCAACAACGCCGAGACCAUUGGAGACUGCCUCUAACUGAUGGACAGAUCUUCCACUCUCUCCAACCAGAGUGGAUGGUCUGCCAUGAAAUGUGCUUGUUGGGUUGGGAGGUGUUUAUUUGUAGCCGUCAUAACAUUGGUCAGUGGGCAGGAACCCAUGCUCGCCAUCUGGGUACAUGAUGGGAUGUGCUGGAGUCCCCCAAACGACAAUCUUUUCCUACUUUGUGGUGGGUGGAAGUUUGAGGUUCGGAUGCCACUUGGCACCAUAGGCGAUUCAGAAAUGAUGGUUUUGUUGGGAGUGGGGAACAUGGACAUGCUGAUUGUAUAUAAAUGAUACCUGUAGAAUGGUGUCCCUUCGGAAAAUCUUCUGGAAUGUUCUUCAGAAUAUUGAUUUAUACCAGAGUUGAGGUUGGAGAGAAAGAACAGAUGGGCAUUUGUUCUUUCAAAGACAUGAGAGAAUGCAAUGGACAUUCAGAGGCUGCGCCUGGAAGUGAAUGUUUCCUUAGGGGGUCUCCCAGAAACAGAGGGAAACAAUGACUUUUUGAGCUCACUAUCAACUUCUCAUACCAGUCAAGGUCCAGAACUAGCCUCCAGCCACGUUUUAAUCUGGAUGUGGGCCCUAAAAAUCCUUGUUCAAACUCAGACCAGGGAUCUGGGGCUCUUGGUCCCAUUUGAGAAGAAAGGAACUGCCUCCCCCAACCCAAAGCGUGUGUGUCCACACACACAUUCAGGAAUGGCUUAUUUACUCUCUACCUUGUGGGCCUGGGGGUCCCAGGCCCUGCGUGUGAGUGGCAGACACCUCCCAUCCAACGUCAGCCACGCAGGAUCGAAUGUGCCUCGGCUUAUGCAGAAACCAACUCGGAGACGCAAAACCCACCAAGAGAUCAAUUCUUAUUUUUUCAAUGUUUUCCUUACAAGAGCCAAGUGGCACCAUGUACAGAAUUUGCCUUUUUUUUGUUUGUUUGUUUCUUGGAAUAUCAAAAUUGCUCUGCAUGUAAACUAUGGGAUAAUUACCUGUUUAUAUGAAAAUUCAGAAUAAAUUAUCUGAG